rnacentral:misc_RNA from 1 species
GAUGAAGAACGUAGCGAAAUGCGAUACGUAAUGUGAAUUGCAGAAUUCAGUGAAUCAUCGAGUCUUUGAACGCACAUUGCGCCCCCUGGUAUUCCGGGGGGCAUGCCUGUCCGAGCAUCAUUGCUGCCCUCAAGCACGGCUUGUGUGUUGGGCCUCCGUCCUCCUCCCGGGGGACGGGCCCGAAAGGCAGCGGCGGCACCGCGUCCGGUCCUCGAGCGUAUGGGGCUUCGUCACCCGCUCUUGUAGGCCCGGCCGGCGCUUGCCGACACAUCAAUCUUUUUUCCAGGUUGACCUCGGAUCAGGUAGGGAUACCCGCUGAACUUAAGCAUAUCAAUAAGCGGACGA